GGAUGUGAGGGAUCUGGCUGUGACAUCUGUCACCCCACUGAUCUCAAGGGUUGAUUUGGCAGAUAUGGUUGGCUGGACGGGUGUCCCUUUCCUUCCUCCACACUCUGUGUGCAUCCUUCCUGAACCUGUGCGCUCAAUCAAAAAAGACUACCAUCCCUGAUAGAGGAAAACCAAACAACUCUUUAUAUCCUUCAUUCCCUCUCUCAUCACCCAGUCCCUGGCACUACAUAAUAUUCCUCACAGGGCACAUAUAAAACAGUUUUCCACAACUUCAGUUUUAUAAAAUAGAUGUUUGAAGUCAUUAUAAUU
rnacentral:sRNA from 1 species